rnacentral:rRNA from 1 species
GUAGGCUGCAACUCGCCUACAUGAAGUUGGAAUCGCUAGUAAUCGCGAAUCAGAAUGUCGCGGUGAAUACGUUCCCGGGUCUUGUACACACCGCCCGUCACACCACGAGAGUUUACAACACCCGAAGUCAGUGGCCUAACCGCAAGGAAGGAGCUGCCUAAGGUGGGGUAGAUGAUUGGGGUGAAGUCGUAACAAGGUAAC